UUUGAAACCUGUUGGAGUAAUGAAAGCAGGAAAUGGGAACAGAGGAAGGAUUUGCUAUGGAAUCAGUUAUUUCAAGGAUCACCAGCAACAGCAAACUAGGAUAUUAGGCUUGUGAGGUCCCAGGCCCUGUGGGAGUCACAGGUUACCAUGCAGACAUGGCCAAGUCCAAGAACCACACCACACACAACCAGUCCCACAAAUGGCACAGAAAUGUCAUCAAGUAAUCCUGGUCACAAGGAUACGAAUCUCUUAAGGGGGUUGACCCCAAGUUCCUGAGGAACAUGCUCUUUUCCAAGAAGCACAAGAAAGAUCUGAAGAAAAUGCAGGCCAACAAUACAAAGGCAGUGAGUGCAUGGGCAGAGGCCAUCAUGGCCCUCGUGAAGCCUCAGGCCAUCAAGCCCAAGAUGUCAAAGGGCCCCCAGCCACAAACUCAGCUGUCUGGCUUUCAUCAAUCACCCCAAGCUUGGAAAGCAAAUUUGAAGCUACAUGGCCAAUGGUUGUAGACUCUGCCAACCAAAGUCCAAGGUUCAGGCUGAGGCAGAGGCCAAAGCUUCAGUUAAGGCCCAGGCUUCAGCUCCAGCUCAGGCUCCCAAAGGUGCUCAGGCCCCUGUGAAGGCCCCAAAGAAAAGGUUCCUGCCAGU